AGAGAGUUAGUUUAAAAAUUAAAACACAACCUUGUCAAGGUUGAAACGUUACCGAAUUAAAUUAACACCCUCUA
rnacentral:tRNA from 1 species